UUCUCUGAGAUCUCUUCAGUCUGUGAAUUCUUAGACAGUAUGGCCUCUACUUUAACAAGGGAUUCUUUCAGCUGUGGAGAGAAGUGUGAGAAUCUCCUGCAAACAAAAAGGUACAGAGUAAACGUGCAAAGAAAUGUAGGGUAUGACAUGAAAGGUCCAUGUGAAAGGUAAACAACACCAUUCCAGCUCAGACUUGGUGCUCUACUUAAAGGACUGGGCACCAAGACACACCAGUCUUCAGGAACAUCUGCUGCAGUGGGUGACCAUGUUUCGUCUGUGUUUCUCACUCUUCCUGUGUUUGGUUUGGCUUGGACUGCUCUGUCUCUCAGAGGCAGUGGAAAACCAAGCUGAAUCAAGGGAGAAAGGG